rnacentral:rRNA from 1 species
CUAACGAGGAUUUCCUUAGUAACGGCGAGUGAAAAGGAAAAAGCCCAACGCUGAAUCCAAUAGAUGUUUUAUACUAUAUGGAAAUGUAGCGUAUAGGUAUAAUUAAUCGUAAUAUAUUUUUACACCCAAAGUCCCCUUGAGCGGGGCUACAGUCCAUAGAAGGUGCUAGACCUGUACGGGUGAAAAAUGUUACGAUAGAUUAUACUUUGGAGUCGGGUUGUUUGAGAUUGCAGCCCAAAGAGGGUGGUAAACCUCAUCUAAGGCUAAAUAUGACCACGAGACCGAUAGCAAACAAGUACCGUGAGGGAAAGUUGCAAAGAACUUUGAAGAGAGAGUUCAAGAGGGCGUGAAACCGCUGAGAUGGAAACGGAUAGAGUUAACGAAACUUAUCAGUAUUCAACCAAUCAAUUUAGCAAAUCUUAAUUAUAUUUUUUUUAAUUCAUUUUUUUUUUAAAGGAAAUUAAAAAAAUUAAUUAAAAUUAUAGGGCUAAAUUUUUAAAUAAAUUGGGGUAUUUACUGAUAGUAUGCAUCGAGAGCUUCGUUUAUAGCAUAUUGAAAUUUUUAUUUAGUGGACUAAUUAUUACGCAUUUUGCAUAAUUAGAAUCCUAAAUAAUACUCAUUGAAAUAUGUCUUAGAGGAAGUUUUUUUUUUUGUKCCCAAUUUAAUGUAACUCUCACUUGAAAUAAUAGUGACAUUGCAUUWGUUAUAAUUUUUACUAAUUAUMUUAAUAUGUGGUCGCAUGUGACUUAUCAUUUAAUUUAUAAUUCGUAAUAUUAUAAUAGUUUGUWUGCAUCUUAAGAGUUACAUCUCGAUGUGAGCGUUAAUCCCCUAUCUGACCCGUCUUGUAACACGGACCAAGGAGU